UUAAUGUAUGGGGAUCUGCCCGAUAGAGGGGGAUAACUACUGGAAACGGUGGCUAAUACCGCAUAAUGUCUACGGACCAAAGCAGGGGCUCUUCGGACCUUGCACUAUCGGAUGAACCCAUAUGGGAUUAGCUAGUAGGUGGGGUAAAGGCUCACCUAGGCGACGAUCUCUAGCUGGUCUGAGAGGAUGAUCAGCCACACUGGGACUGAGACACGGCCCAG
rnacentral:rRNA from 1 species